rnacentral:tRNA from 1 species
GAGGGUAUAGCUCAGUGGUAGAGCGCGUGCUUAGCAUGCACAAGGUCCUGGGUUCGAUCUCCACUACCUCCA